rnacentral:rRNA from 1 species
CUACGCACUCCUACGGGAGGCAGCAGUGGGGAAUAUUGCACAAUGGGCGCAAGCCUGAUGCAGCCAUGCCGCGUGUAUGAAGAAGGCCUUCGGGUUGUAAAGUACUUUCAGCAGUGAGGAAGGUGGGUAUGUUAAUAGCAUAUUCAUUUGACGUUAGCUGCAGAAGAAGCACCGGCUAACUCCGUGCCAGCAGCCGCGGUAAUACGGAGGGUGCGAGCGUUAAUCGGAAUUACUGGGCGUAAAGCGCAUGCAGGUGGUUUGUUAAGUCAGAUGUGAAAGCCCGGGGCUCAACCUCGGAAUUGCAUUUGAAACUGGACAAACUAGAGUACUGUAGAGGGGGUAGAAUUUCAGGUGUAGCGGUGAAAAUGCGUAGAGAUCUGAAGGAAUACCGGUGGCGAAGGCGGCCCCCUGGACAGAUACUGACACUCAGAUGCGAAAGCGUGGGGAGCAAACAGGAUUAGAUACCCUGGUAG